GCAGCCCUAUAGCUGCCCUAUAGGUACCCCAUAGCAGCCCCACGGCGGCCCCAUGGCUGCCCUAUAGAUACCCCAUAGCAGCCCCACAGCAGCCCUAUAGCUGCCCUAUAGAUACCCCAUAGCAGUCCCACAGCAGCCCUAUAGCUGCCCUAUAGAUACCCCAUAGCAGCCCCACAGCAGCCCUAUAGCUGCCCUAUAGGUACCCCAUAGCAGCCCCACAACGGCCCCGCGGCUGCCCUAUAGAUACCCCAUAGCAGUCCCACAGCAGCCCUAUAGCUGCCCUAUAGAUACCCUAUAGCAGCCCCACAGCGGCCCCACGGCUGCCCUAUAGAUACCCCAUAGCAGCCCCACAGCAGCCCUAUAGCUGCCCUAUAGGUACCCCAUAGCAGCCCCACGGCGGCCCCAUGGCUGCCCUAUAGAUACCCCAUAGCAGCCCCACAGCAGCCCUAUAGCUGCCCUAUAGGUACCCCAUAGCAGCCCCACAGCGGCCCUAUAGCUGCCCUAUAGAUACCCUAUAGCAGCCCCACAGCGGCCCCACGGCUGCCCUAUAGA